rnacentral:misc_RNA from 1 species
GAUGAAGAACGGAGCGAAAUGCGAUACUUGGUGUGAAUUGCAGAAUCCCGUGAACCAUCGAGUCUUUGAACGCAAGUUGCGCCCGAAGCCAUUAGGCCGAGGGCACGCCUGCCUGGGUGUCACACGUCGUUGCCCCCCCAUCUACUCCUUCGGGAUUGCGGGGGGCGGAUGAUGGCCUCCCGUGCGCCUCGUCGCGCGGUUGGCAUAAAUGCCAAGUCCUCGGCGACGCACGCCACGACAAUCGGUGGUUGCGAAACCUCGGUUGCCAGUCGUGUGCGGUCGUCGCGCAUCGAGGGCUCGAAAAAAUUGCCGGGCUCCGGCUCGGCUUUCAACGCGACCCCAGGUCAGGCGGGGUUACCCGCUGAAUUUAAGCAUAUCAAUAAGCGGAGGA